GACGAACGCUGGCGGCGUGCUUAACACAUGCAAGUCGAACGCUGAAGCUCAGCUUUUGUUGGGUGGAUGAGUGGCGAACGGGUGAGUAACACGUGAGUAACCUGCCCCCUUCUUUGGGAUAACGCCCGGAAACGGGUGCUAAUACUGGAUAUUCACUGGUCUUCGCAUGGGGGUUGGUGGAAAGGGUUUUUCUGGUGGGGGAUGGGCUCGCGGCCUAUCAGCUUGUUGGUGGGGUGAUGGCCUACCAAGGCUUUGACGGGUAGCCGGCCUGAGAGGGUGACCGGGCACAUUGGGACUGAGAUACGGCCCAGACUCCUACGGGAGGCAGCAGUGGGGAAGAUUGCACAAUGGGCGCAAGCCCGAUGCAGCGACGCCGCGUGAGGGAUGGAGGCCUUCGGGUUGUGAACCUCUUUCGCUCAUGGUCAAGCCGCAACAAUGGUUGUGGUGAGGGUAGUGGGUAAAGAAGCGCCGGCUAACUACGUG
rnacentral:rRNA from 1 species